UUCACUUUGUUGGCCAGGCUGGUCACUGGCUAACCUAUUUUUUGUAGAGAUAGAGUUUUGCCUUGUUGCCCAGGCUGGUCACAAAUUUUUUUUCUUUUUUUAAGUAAAUCUUCAACCAUGAUGUGUUUGCUUUCCUGUUAUCAGGAGUGCUCUUAAGGCCUUCAUGAAGUGUCACUGCCUCAUAAUAAUGUUUUGAAUACCUUUGUAACCUGUGUGUAAAUACUUAUACAAAAAGACAACUUUUUUUUUUAGAAGAAUGUCAGUGACUCUUAUUGGCCUGGUCUGGAUUCCUUUCAAUAAUGAAUGAAAGGCUUUGAGGAAAGAAUGUAAAUAUAAUGAAAUAUGGAAAGAGUUCCAUGUGGACCUUGAAAAGUUACGGGGGAAAUUGAGGAGAAAUACUCUUCAUUUUCUCCUCCCCGUGUCCCAAAGCUCCUCUCCUCCCCUUAUUGCAAGAGAAUUGAACUAGUGAUUAUAAAACUGUAAAGAUGAUGUAACAUACAUUAAUGAAUGUAAUCACAAUUAUUAAACCACCUUUCACAAUCUGUUACAUUAAGAGAAUGGAGAAGCACUCACAGAGGUUUCUCUGAGUCUCUUAGUCAUUCCCAAAAACCCAAACCAGAAAGUAUUGCAUGUCAUUGCAUAUUUUGUACAAAUUGGCAUAAGGAACAGCUCUUACUUCCUUUGUAAAGUCUGAAUCAUAGAGAAGCUUCCAGCUUUUAGUUUUCAAGCUUGAUUGUUAGGAAGAGAAUUCACUCUGUGGUUUUCUACUUUGUAUUGCUUGGACGGCACAAACCUCUUAUCUAGCAUUGCUUCCUUUCCAAGUAAAACUGGACUUUGUGAGGGUUGGUAGAGUUAAAACACUAAGAAAUUUUGAGUCUGUAAAUCAGGAACGAAUCAGGUGAUGGGAAAAAAGACGUGUUGUUCAUCUGUUGAGGAAGACAGAUUUGCUCUUUUGUGUGUUACUCAAAAGAUUAAUAUGUAGCCUGUUAAUGCCUAUGCAUAUAACUUUCUCUGCAGCAUCUACGUAUUUCCAUAGAUGAUAUUUUUGAAAGAAAAUUACUGAGUUAAAGGAAAUUACCCUUUUAAGGCUCUUAAUACCUAUUGUCUAAUUAUUCUACAGAAUGUUCACUGAAGCGCUGCUUGUAAUAAUAAAGUAUUAGAAACAGCCGUCUGAGUAGUGGUUAACCAUUGCCAUUUAGAGAAUGGUGAAAGUACCGUAUAUCCUUAUAAAAGAUGAGAUGCGGCGCAGUUGUUCAGAAGAAUUAAUGUCAUUGUGUAUUGAUAGGGAAGACAUCUGAAAAACGACUUACAGAUUAUAUGGGAAAACUGAGGCUGUAAGUACCCUGUGCAAGGGUGACAGCUGUGACUGAGAGUGGGAGCCUGGCUUCAGUCUCUGCCCCUGACCACAGUAGACCAGUAUAUGGCAAGUACAAAUUGCCUGCCUUAAGUAGAAAUGCUUUCAGCUAUGCCACAGCGUGUGGAGGCCACAGCAGAGAUCACUUUUGCUAAGCGUUUCUAGGUAUGUCUCUUUGUUCAGGUUUCUAACGUAUAUUUUAGAUUAUGA